GUAGGGUGCGAGCGUUAAUCGGAAUUACUGGGCGUAAAGCGUGCGCAGGCGGAUUGUUAAGCAAGAUGUGAAAUCCCCGGGCUUAACCUGGGAAUGGCAUUUUGAACUGGCAGUCUAGAGUGCGUCAGAGGGGGGUGGAAUUCCACGUGUAGCAGUGAAAUGCGUAGAUAUGUGGAGGAACACCAAUGGCGAAGGCAGCCCCCUGGGAUGACACUGACGCUCAUGUACGAAAGCGUGGGUAGCAAACAGGAUUAGAUACCCUGGUAGUCCACGCCCUAAACGAUGUCAACUGGUUGUUGGGGGAGUGAAAUCCCUUAGUAACGAAGCUAACGCGUGAAGUUGACCGCCUGGGGAGUACGGUCGCAAGAUUAAAACUCAAAGGAAUUGACGGGGACCCGCACAAGCGCUGGAUGAUGUGGAUUAAUUCGAUGCAACGCGAAAAACCUUACCUACCCUUGACAUGUCCAGAAUCCUGCAGAGAUGCGGGAGUGCCCGAAAGAAUUGGAACACAGGUGCUGCAUGGCUGUCGUCAGCUCGUGUCGUGAGAUGUUGGGUUAAGUCCCGCAACGAGCGCAACCCUUAUCAUUAGUUGCUACGCAAGGGCACUCUAAUGAGACUGCCGGUGACAAACCGGAGGAAGGUGGGGAUGACGUCAAGUCCUCAUGGCCCUUAUGGGUAGGGCUUCACACGUCAUACAAUGGUCGGUACAGAGGGUUGCCAAGCCGCGAGGUGGAGCCAAUCCCAGAAAGCCGAUCGUAGUCCGGAUUGUUCUCUGCAACUCGAGAGCAUGAAG
rnacentral:rRNA from 1 species